rnacentral:rRNA from 1 species
GAUGAACGCUGGCGGCGUGCUUAACACAUGCAAGUCGAACGGGAAAUAUUUCAUUGAGACUUCGGUGGAUUUGAUCUAUUUCUAGUGGCGGACGGGUGAGUAACGCGUGGGUAACCUGCCUUAUACAGGGGGAUAACAGUCAGAAAUGGCUGCUAAUACCGCAUAAGCGCACAGAGCUGCAUGGCUCAGUGUGAAAAACUCCGGUGGUAUAAGAUGGACCCGCGUUGGAUUAGCUUGUUGGUGGGGUAACGGCCCACCAAGGCGACGAUCCAUAGCCGGCCUGAGAGGGUGAACGGCCACAUUGGGACUGAGACACGGCCCAGACUCCUACGGGAGGCAGCAGUGGGGAAUAUUGCACAAUGGGGGAAACCCUGAUGCAGCGACGCCGCGUGAAGGAAGAAGUAUCUCGGUAUGUAAACUUCUAUCAGCAGGGAAGAUAGUGACG